UAGGGGCGAAAGACUAAUCGAACCAUCUAGUAGCUGGUUCCCUCCGAAAUUUCCCUUAGGAUAGCUGCAACCGGUUAAGAGUUUUAUCAGGUAAAGCGAAUGAUUAGAGGAUUCGGGGACGGAAUGUCCUCGACCUAUUCUCAAACUUUAAAUGGGUAAGAACCCGGGGUUGCUUAAUUGAACCCUGCGGUCGAAUCUCGGUUGCUAGUGGGCCAGUCCGGGUAAGCUGGACUGGCGAUGCGGGAUGAUCCGAACGCUGAGUUAAAGUGCCUAACUGCUCGCUCACCUAGAUCCCACAAAAGGUGUUGGUUCAUUUAGACAGCAGGACGGUGGCCAUGG
rnacentral:rRNA from 1 species